CUGAGUGCCUGCAUGGCUUUGAAAUCUCCUCCCUGUCCAAAGCUCACGGUCCUAUGGUGUCCUGGGGAACGGUCUUGUUGGGUGGCAUCAGAUCAGCCUCUUGUAGAGGAAACCUGCCACACACACAGGCCAGUGGGAAACUAGGAAGGGUCGCAGGCCGGACGGUGCUUCCAGGGCUUGAGCUAACCCUGAGCCCCUCAUCUUCCCUGGCCACAGGCCCGGUGGUUCCCUAGAACCCCAGCCAGGUCCGUGGUGGCCCUGAAGACCCCCAUCAAGGUGGAGCUGGUGGCAGGGAAAACCUACAGGUGGUGUGUGUGUGGCCGCAGCAAGAAGCAGCCCUUCUGUGACGGCUCCCACUUCUUCCAACGCACUGGCCUAUCUCCACUCAAGUUCAAGGCCCAAGAGACCCGCAUGGUGGCACUCUGUACCUGCAAGGCCACUCAGAGGCCCCCGUACUGCGAUGGCACCCACAGGAGUGAGCGCGUGCAGAAGGCAGAAGUGGGCUCCCCACUCUGAGGGGGCUGCUGCUGUCCAGCCACAGGUGGCCUUGGCUCCAGGCCUCUGACAGGCACCCCCUUCUGUGGGAAAGGAAACAGGUGCUGAGCCCAAGAGAUUCUGGUACCCACUGCUGGCUCAUGAAGGAAGAAUUAUUCCUUAUAACCUAAAAGUCUCCAGUCUGGGGCAGGCGGGAGUGGGCCCUGGUUCAAUGUUUGCUGAUGGGGAAGACGGCAAAAACAAGCCUGCCCAACCAGACUGGUAGUCCUGCAGUCACUGCU
rnacentral:sRNA from 1 species